UGCGGCCGAAAGGAGACGGGCUGGGGAAGUCGUUGGCACUAGGAUGGAAGGAGGGAGGACGUUUUCUCGUGGCUAAGAAAAGCUGAAGAGUCAGGAUCUCACCGUGUUACUCAGGCUGGUCUCAAACUCCUGAGCUCAAGUGAUCUGCUUGCCUUGGCCUCCAAAAGUGCUGAGAUUACAGGCCCUGCCACCGUGCCAUGAGGAAAUGGAAAGACCACGUGGAGUGGUCACAUAUAAAUGUUCCAGCCACCAGCCUCAGCGGAGGUCCCAGCCCACAGUCAGCAACAACUCCAGACACGUGAGUGGCAGCAAGAUGAUGCCAGCCGCAGUUACCAUCUGAUUACAACUUCAUAAGAAACCCUGAGCAAGGGCUGCCCAGCUGAGUUCAACCAACGCCCCAGACCUGUGGGUGAUGAUAAUAAAAUUAUUGUUGUUUUGAGUCA